AUUCUUACUGUGUCAUCAUGAGGAUGGAAAGGCAAAACAGCAUUAAUCUGAAUCUGUGCAUUUGUGCUAACUGCUAGUAGCGCAGUGUUUUUAAGACAUUGUAUUGUCCUUUCUUUUGUAACAGAUAAUACAAAUCUCUAUGGAGACUAUAAAAACUUAAAUCCAUGAUUUAUGCAACCUGUUUAUGUAAAGUAUUAGCCAUUUGGUCUGGUGAUAGCUUAACUUAAAAGAAAAAAAAAAAAAAGCUUGAAUCUUGAAUAAAGAAAUGUUGCUGGAAGAAACAGAAUAAUGCUGGUGCCACACAGAUUUGACAGAUCAUGCAACAUGAUUUGGCAAAUCAUGGAACGUGUUUGUAUUACGAAGUGAUUAGGCAAUGAUAAGAAGCUUUUCAACAGUAUUCUUCAUGAAGCGCCAACCAAUGAAAAGUUCAUGUUUAGAACUCAGAAUUAAGGCUGUCAGUUGUGCUACUGAUGGUGACAGGAGACUUAAUUUCCAGUUCAUUAUUCAUAAGUUUUUGUAUCAAAGAAAAAAAGUGGAAGAUAACUUGAGGGAUUCAUGUGGGGAGGGGAGGGGAGAGUCCAGCAGUGCUGAUGUGAAAAGUUAGUCUAAUAUUAAAAGGAACACCUCAGUGGGAAAUAUUUUGGUAAUGGUGCCAGCUUGCUAACAGAAUCCUCUUCUUUAGGCAAUUAACCAUGCAGCAGAAAACACGCUGUCCUCACUGGAGGAAUGCUUGCUUCAAGAAAAGCAAACCAGUUGCGGUUCAGCUAAAUCUGAAAAAUCUGAAGAUCCUUGUUCUCUCCAGCAUUCCUGAAAGUGAUGUUUGCCACGUGAAGCUUAAAGCAAGUACCUGUGUACACUCCAUUGCCAUGAAAAUGGGUUUUAAUGGGAUCAAGACUACAAGCAAAACACUGAAUGCUGCUUCUACCGAACUGAGCAAAUGCCUGUUACUGCCAUAAAUCCCUGUCAAAGAAUUAGUGGUUGCUGGCAGACCGGUGCUGUCUGCUUAGCAUCUUAAAGCUGUGCUGUCUUUAAUUAAACAAGAAUGUGCCUCUUGGUGGGCAUUCAUUACUGAAUGCUUUUGUGUCUUAACUUAUGCCUGACUGUCAGUGGGUUCUUCUUGAACAAAAGUUUCUUGUGAGUUACUGCUGUAUAGGCCGCUGUGGCGCACAACACUGCUUUCUGCUGUUUGCUUUUUGAAAAGUUGCAUUUUUUUUUUUCUAGAAAAGUUCAGGGUAUUUAUGGGGAGGGGAUUGGGAUAGUUUUUGUUUCUCUAGAGAAACAGUUGUGUAGCAUUGGAAGUCUUGUAUUUGGUGCUGUUACAAAGCAAUGGAAGAAGCUGGAAUAAAGCUGACACUGGGGCACGCUCUUCAGGGUUUUGUUAACGACUGGCUUUCUUUCCCUAUGCAUUUGCCCCAAUACAGUGUGACACGUACCACAUACUGUCACAGGUACUGUGUGUCUGCAGGUCAUAUGGCUGUGCACAUCCUGCAAUUCCUGCUUCUGUUUUGAUCCAGAGUCAUUCUCUAGAGCACCAUGAGCCAUGCCAAAUGGUUUGGAACACUCCACAGUUGUGUACAAAACAGAAUUUGUGUUUGUGACAUAGCCUUCAGUGGCAGUAACAAACACUGAAGCCUUUUAUCUCCAAAUCAAGCAGACCUAGCAGUGUGGUUAUGCUUGCUGCAUGCGUAGUGUGGUAAGGACUUCUACACCCAGCUGCAGCUUAUCACACUCUUCAUGUGUUGAAAAGGGGUUGCUCUUUUUUCUACUGUUCUGUGCUUCUGUAUAACAGUAGGUUCUUCCAUCUCUUCUGGGGCUGUGGAUUUUUCACAAUGCCACAUGUGAAUUACAAACAUAAUUGUCUUGCUGAGCAUUACAGUAGCUCCUGAGCAUUAGCACUUGCUCAGUAAACACUUGUAUAUUGAUCCCCUUAGUAGAGACAAGACACGGUGGUAGGCUGUAAAGAAUUUAAUUAAAUUCUGAACAGCAGGCCUUAGAUAUCAUUUGCAAUCUCAUGUUAAGAUCACAGAUUAUAUAAAUAUUUAACUACAGUUAAAAUACAACUGGAGCAAGCAAUGAAGUUGUUUGUAACCUUAUUUUGAAACAAAUAGGCUACCGUUAGUAGUCCCCCUCUUGCAAGGCUUAUUCACUUAAUAGUUCUUCCUUGUGGCAACUUGAGAGUUCUGCUCUAAAAAUCAGAGCUGCCUUCAGCCACCCACACAGCCAGCUUUUUCUGCUGACGCAUACAGACAGCAAUGCCAGAAAAUGAACAAAGAUGAGUCUCUAGAGAGUGUUACAACUGUACAGGACAACAUGAUCAAACUAUGCUUGCAUGCCCCUCUUUAAAGGGAGCAGGUAGAACUGACAUAGCUAUUCCACAGGUUCAUCUACAGCAGAAUUACAUUCACAUGUCACCGCGUGACAGUAGUAAUAUAGAGAUAGUAGUGGUAAUAGAGAGAAUAAUACAAGAGACCAUGCUUAAAGCUUUGCCUGGGGGGAUUACACUUACUACACUGACCAUUUCAGCAGCUUUUUGAAUGGAAGCUUCUGAGUGUGGCAGCAUGAACAGAUCUUAAAAUGUAAGUGGGAUAAGUUUGUAUGAAAAGUCACGUGUCAGAACAAACUCCUUGCUGUGCUGUUACCUUAACCUAUUUCCUGUUGCUUUUACUGUAGCUCUUCUUUUAAGCAGACAGUUCUGAAGAGCUUCCUCCUGGUACCUCUCUAACUAGAAGGAACAGAAAUCUGCCCCAACUCCCAGCUGUUCCCAGAGCACAGCUGAAAUAAUUAAGUUUAAUAAAUUAGUUUCUUCUUACACUGGAAAAAUAAAAAGGCUUGCUGGAUGCAAACUGACUUAAAGCUUGGUAAGCAGAACUUUAGUUGAAUUCCUGGUAGUUUAAUUUAUCUCUGCAAAGUUGAUUCUAGGUCAGAAACAGAAUAUUUAAAUUACGAUCAAGUGAUUUCCUCCCUCCUCCCCCCUGCCUAUAAAGCAGAAAUUACCCUGUUAUGGUAUUAUUUCUGAGAAUCCCACUAACACAUCUGAACUUAACCUUUCUACAUUUGGAUAUUUUUUUGUUGUUGUUGUUCUGCACCCCAGAAGCUGUGUUGGAGGCCAGUGCAAUCACAUCUGAGCAAUAUCUGGCCAAAAUUAGUGUCCUGGUUCCUGUGGUAUUU
rnacentral:lncRNA from 1 species